rnacentral:lncRNA from 1 species
CUGGAGCCAGUAUGUUGAGAUGCGAGGGAGUCCAUUUCACAAGGUCUGCUCUGAAGAGAAGGUGGAGAGAAGAGGACAAAAGCUGAUGGUGGUGGAAGAGGCUUGCCCAUCCUGCCUUACACCCCUUUCCUGUCCCUUAGUACCUGUAGAGAACAGUCCAGGCAAGAGAACUGGAGCACUCAUCUAAGACUCCUCCAACAAGCAGCUUUCU